rnacentral:tRNA from 2 species
GGUAUUGCGCCGGAAUGAACGGACAACUCUGAUGACGUUGAACAUGGGGCCUCUCCCCCAAUACCU